GUGGGGAAUAUUGGGCAAUGGGCGCAAGCCUGACCCAGCAACGCCGCGUGAGGGAAGAAGGCUUUCGGGUUGUAAACCUCUGUCCUUGGUGACGAAACAAAUGACGGUAGCCAAGGAGGAAGCCCCGGCUAACUACGUGCCAGCAGCCGCGGUAAUACGUAGGGGGCGAGCGUUGUCCGGAAUUACUGGGCGUAAAGGGUGCGUAGGUGGCCUUUUAAGUUGGAUGUGAAAUACCCGGGCUUAACUUGGGGGGUGCAUCCAAAACUGGGAGGCUAGAGUGCAGGAGAGGAAAGCGGAAUUCCUAGUGUAGCGGUGAAAUGCGUAGAUAUUAGGAGGAACACCAGUGGCGAAGGCGGCUCACUGGCUCGAUACUGACGCUGAGGUGCGAAAGCGUGGGGAGCAAACAGGAUUAGAAACCCGAGUAGUCC
rnacentral:rRNA from 1 species